CCUACGGGAGACAGCAGUGGGGAAUAUUGGACAAUGGGGGGAACCCUGAUCCAGCGACGCCGCGUGAGUGAAGAAGGACUUUGGUAUGUAAAGCUCUAUCAGCAGGGAAGAAAGAAAUGACGGUACCUGACUAAGCAGCCCCGGCUAACUACGUGCCAGCAGCCGCGGUAAUACGUAGGGGGCAAGCGUUAUCCGGAUUUACUGGGUGUAAAGGGAGCGUAGACGGUUACGCAAGUCUGGAGUGAAAGGCCGGGGCCCAGCCCCCGGAUGGCUUUUGAAACUGGAUAACUGGAGUGCAGGGGAGGUAAGGGGAAUUCCUAGUGUAGCGGUGAAAUGCGUAGAUAUCAGGAAGAACACCAGUGGCGAAGGCGGCUUACUGGACUGUAACUGACGUUGAGGCUCGAAAGCGUGGGGAGCAAACAGGAUUAGAUACCCCUGUAGUC
rnacentral:rRNA from 1 species